rnacentral:pre_miRNA from 12 species
UAUGUCUCCUGUCUAUUGUACUUCAUCAGGUGCUCUGGUAUACAUGAAACCCGGCACAUGUUGAAGUACAUUCAAUAUGAGACGAA